rnacentral:sRNA from 1 species
AUGAUUUGUAAAUCAAACCAGGAUGCUUGAAGAUGAACCUUGUGGGGGUUUUUUUGUUGUUUUUUUUUAAGAGACGGAGUCUCGCUCUGUCACCUAGGCUGGAGUGCAGUGGCACGAUCUCGGCUCACUGCAACCUCCGCCUCCUGGGUUCACGCAAUUCUCCUGCCCCUCAGCCUCCCCAGUAGCUGGGACUACAGGCACAUGCUGCCAUGCCUGGCUAAUUUCUUUAUUUUCUUUUUUUUUUUGAGACAGAGUUUUGUUCUUUUUGCCCAGGCUGGAGUGCAAUGGCGCGAUCUUGGCUCACUGCAACUUCUGCCUCCCGGGUUCAAGCAAUUCUCCUGCCUCAGCUUCCCGAGUAGCGCCAUCACAUCUGGCUAAUUUUUUUUUUGAGAUGGAGUCUCACUCUGUCACCAAGCUGGAGUGCGGUGGUGCAGUCUCGGCUUACUCCCGGGUUCAAGUGAUGCUUCUGCCCCAGCCUCCCGAGUGGCUGGGAUGACAGGUGCCCGCCACCACGUCCAGAUAAUUUUUGUAUUUUUAGUAGAGAUGUGGUUUCACUGUGUCUUGAACUCCUGACCUCAUGGCCAGGCUGGUCUUGAAUUCCUGACCUUGUGAUCGUGACCUCAUGAUCCGCCAGCCUCGGCCUCCCAAAGUGCUGGGAUUACAAGGGUGAGCCACCUCACCCAGCCUAAUUUUGUAUUUUUAGUAGUGACGGGGUUUCUCCAUGUUGGUCAGGCUGGUCUCAAACUCCUGACCUCAGGUGAUCCGUCUGCCUCGGCCUCCCAAAGUGCUGAGAUUACAGGCGUGAGCCACCACGCGCGACCUGGCUAAUUUCUUUUGCAUUUUAGUAGAGACAGGGUUUCACUGUGUUGCCCAGGCUGGUCUCGAACUCCUGAGCUCAGGCAAUCUGCCUGCCUCAGCCUCCCAAAGUGCUAGGAUUACAGGCACGAGCCACUGCGCCUGGUCAGCCUUGUGGUUUUUCACACUGAAAGGGUAUGUGGUGGUGUGGACUGAUGUGACAGGAAGACCAGUUAAUUUGUGGACUCUCACUUAAAGUAAGUUUACCUUGAAGUAGUAUGAAUACAGGCUUUUUGUAAUUUAUUUUAACUUAAUAUGAAGAAUAUUUAUUCCUUGAGAAGCAACCUAAGGCAUUAAAUAGGACUUGCUCUUUGCAAAAAGUCAGUAGCAUUGUUUCUGCUUCUCUCUCCCAGAUCAAGCACUGCGCCUAGCAGAAAUUUUACUACCUCUCCAAAAUCAUCAGCAAGUCCCUAUUCCUCAGUGUCUGCCUCUCUCAUUGCAAAUGGUGAUAGCACUAGCACCUGUGGGAUGCACAGUUCCGGUGUCAGCAGGGGUGGAUCUGGCUUUUCUGCUUCGUAUAAUUGUCAGGAGCCACCAUCCUCUCAUAUACAACCUGGGCUCUGUGGACUUGGAAACCUGGGAAACACCUGCUUCAUGAACUCCGCUUUGCAGUGUUUGAGCAACACUGCACCACUGACUGACUACUUUCUCAAAGAUGAGUAUGAAGCUGAAAUCAACAGAGACAACCCUCUGGGGAUGAAAGGGGAAAUUGCAGAAGCCUAUGCCGAACUCAUUAAGCAGAUGUGGUCUGGAAGGGACGCCCAUGUGGCACCUCGCAUGUUCAAAACUCAAGUGGGACGUUUUGCUCCUCAAUUUUCUGGCUACCAGCAACAAGAUUCUCAGGAGCUGCUGGCCUUUCUUCUAGAUGGAUUGCAUGAAGAUCUGAACCGGGUAAAGAAAAAGCCCUACUUGGAGCUGAAGGAUGCCAAUGGGCGGCCAGAUGCGGUGGUGGCAAAGGAAGCCUGGGAGAAUCACAGGUUGAGGAAUGAUUCUGUGAUUGUGGAUACUUUCCAUGGCCUCUUCAAAUCUACUUUGGUUUGCCCAGAAUGUGCUAAGGUUUCUGUGACCUUUGACCCAUUUUGCUAUCUAACGCUGCCACUGCCCUUGAAGAAAGAUCGAGUUAUGGAGGUUUUCCUGGUUCCUGCUGACCCUCACUGCAGACCUACUCAGUACCGUGUGACUGUGCCGCUGAUGGGGGCUGUGUCCGACCUGUGCGAGGCUCUCUCCAGGCUGUCUGGCAUUGCUGCAGAAAAUAUGGUGGUCGCAGAUGUGUAUAAUCACCGAUUCCACAAAAUUUUCCAAAUGGAUGAAGGUUUAAACCACAUCAUGCCUCGGGAUGACAUUUUCGUGUACGAGGUCUGCAGCACUUCCGUGGAUGGCUCGGAAUGUGUCACGCUUCCAGUCUACUUCAGGGAGAGGAAGUCCAGGCCAUCAAGCACUUCCUCCGCAUCAGCGCUAUAUGGGCAGCCACUAUUGCUUUCUGUCCCCAAGCACAAGUUAACCCUUGAGUCUUUGUACCAGGCUGUUUGUGAUCGUAUCAGCCGCUAUGUGAAACAGCCUUUACCGGAUGAGUUUGGCAGCUCACCCUUGGAGCCAGGGGCCUGCAAUGGCUCCAGGAACAGCUGUGAAGGAGAAGAUGAGGAAGAAAUGGAGCAUCAGGAAGAAGGCAAAGAGCAGCUUUCAGAAACAGAAGGCAGUGGGGAAGAUGAGCCAGGAAAUGACCCCAGUGAGACCACCCAAAAGAUCAAAGGCCAGCCCUGCCCAAAAAGGCUUUUUACCUUCAGUCUUGUGAACUCCUAUGGAACAGCUGACAUAAAUUCACUUGCAGCUGAUGGAAAACUACUUAAACUCAACUCUCGAUCUACACUGGCCAUGGAUUGGGACAGUGAAACUCGGAGACUUUACUAUGAUGAGCAAGAAUCUGAGGCCUACGAGAAGCAUGUGAGCAUGUUGCAGCCUCAGAAGAAGAAGAAGACCACAGUGGCCCUGAGAGACUGCAUCGAGCUCUUCACCACCAUGGAGACCCUUGGGGAGCAUGACCCCUGGUACUGUCCCAACUGUAAGAAGCAUCAACAGGCCACAAAAAAGUUUGACCUAUGGUCCUUGCCCAAGAUCCUGGUGGUCCACCUCAAACGUUUCUCCUACAACAGAUACUGGAGGGAUAAGCUCGACACAGUCGUAGAAUUCCCAAUCAGAGGGCUGAACAUGUCCGAGUUUGUCUGUAACCUGUCAGCAAGGCCUUAUGUGUACGACCUCAUUGCCGUGUCCAAUCAUUAUGGAGCCAUGGGGGUUGGCCACUACACUGCAUAUGCGAAGAACAAACUGAAUGGUAAAUGGUAUUACUUUGAUGAUAGCAACGUGUCCCUGGCCUCUGAGGAUCAGAUAGUGACUAAAGCAGCUUAUGUGCUAUUUUACCAACGUCGAGAUGAUGAAUUUUAUAAGACACCUUCACUUAGCAGUUCUGGUUCCUCUGAUGGAGGGACACGACCAAGCAGCUCUCAGCAGGGCUUGGGGGAUGAUGAGGCUUGCAGCAUGGACACCAACUAAUGCUGACUCCACGAUCCUGCCACCCUGUAGCGCCAGUGUAAUCCCCCAGGAGAACAUCUUUGACACUCUGCAGACUGCUAGUGUUCUGUCUAAAAACCAGACAAGGAAAUACCCUUAUUUUAUGAGCAGAAGGAA